rnacentral:rRNA from 1 species
GCGAUAAGUAAUGUGAAUUGCAAAAUUCAGUGAAUCAUCGAAUCUUUGAACGCACAUUGCGCCCAUUAGUACUCUAGUGGGCAUGCCUGUUCGAGCGUCAUUACGACCCUUAAGCCUAGCUUAGUAUUGGGAACCUACGUGCGGCAGCUACCCUGUAGCUACCCUGUAGCUCCUUAAAGACAACGGCGGAGACGUGGAGUCCUCUGAGCUUAGUAACCUUUCUAGCGCCUGAGAGCGCCCCGCCCCCCGCGCCAAAAACCCCCAACUCUUUAGUGGUUGACCUCGGAUCAGGUAGGAAUACCCGCUGAACUUAAGCAUAUCAAUAAGCGGAGGAAAAGAAACCAACAGGGAUUGCCUUAGUAACGGCGAGUGAAGCGGCAACAGCUCAAAUUUGAAAGCUGGCCUUCGGGUCCGCGUUGUAAUUUGUAGAGGAUGCUUUUGGUUAGGUGCCUUACGAGUUCCCUGGAACGGGACGCCUUAGAGGGUGAGAGCCCCGUACGUUUGGUUACCGAGCCUCUGUAAAGCUCCUUCGACGAGUCGAGUAGUUUGGGAAUGCUGCUCUAAAUGGGAGGUAAAUUUCUUCUAAAGCUAAAUACCGGCCAGAGACCGAUAGCGCACAAGUAGAGUGAUCGAAAGAUGAAAAGCACUUUGAAAAGAGGGUUAAAUAGCACGUGAAAUUGUUGAAAGGGAAGCGUUU